rnacentral:rRNA from 1 species
UACGUAGGGUGCAAGCGUUGUCCGGAAUUAUUGGGCGUAAAGAGCUCGUAGGCGGUUUGUCGCGUCUGCUGUGAAGUCCCGAGGCUCAACCUCGGGCCUGCAGUGGGUACGGGCAGACUAGAGUGCGGUAGGGGAGAUUGGAAUUCCUGGUGUAGCGGUGGAAUGCGCAGAUAUCAGGAGGAACACCGGUGGCGAAGGCGGGUCUCUGGGCAACAACUGACGCUGAGGAGCGAAAGCGUGGGGAGCGAACAGG